rnacentral:rRNA from 1 species
GACGAACGCUGGCGGCGUGCUUAACACAUGCAAGUCGAACGGAAAGGCCCUGCUUUUGUGGGGUGCUCGAGUGGCGAAAGGGUGAGUAACACGUGAGUAACCUGCCCUUGACUUUGGGAUAACUUCAGGAAACUGGGGCUAAUACCGGAUAGGAGCUCCUGCUGCAAGGUGGGGGUUGGAAAGUUUCGGCGGUUGGGGAUGGACUCGCGGCUUAUCAGCUUGUUGGUGGGGUAGUGGCUUACCAAGGCUUUGACGGGUAGCCGGCCUGAGAGGGUGACCGGCCACAUUGGGACUGAGAUACGGCCCAGACUCCUACGGGAGGCAGCAGUGGGGAAUAUUGCACAAUGGGCUGAAGCCUGAUGCAGCAACGCCGCGUGCGGGAUGACGGCCUUCGGGUUGUAAACCGCUUUCGCCUGUGACGAAGCGUGAGUGACGGUAAUGGGUAAAGAAGCACCGGCUAACUACGUG